rnacentral:rRNA from 1 species
CAUGUCCUUUUGAAUAUAAUUUAAGGUCUGAUCUGCUCAAUGAAUUUUAAAUAGCCGCAGUAUUUUGACUGUGCUAAGGUAGCAUAAUAAUUAGUUUCUUAAUUAGAAACUGGAAUGAAUGAUUGGACAAGAAAAUUACUGUCUCUUUUUUAAUUAUUGAAUUUUAUUUUUAAGUGAAAAAGCUUAAAUAUUUAUAAAAGACGAGAAGACCCUAUAGAGUUUUAUAGUUUUUUUUAAUUAUAAAUUAGAAUAUUAUUUUAAAUUAAAUUAUUUGGUUGGGGUGAUUUAAAGAUAAAAUUAAUUCUUUAAAAAGAUAAUUAAAGAUUUUUAAAUUUUAAAUCUAUAGUUUAUAAAACUAAAAUAAAUUACCUUAGGGAUAACAGCGUAAUUUUUCUUUAAAGUUCUUAUUGUAAGGAAAGUUUGCGACCUCGAUGUUGGAUUAAAAUAAAUUUUUGGUGCAAUAACUAAAAAAUUGGGUCUGUUCGACCUUUAAAAUUUUACAUGAUCUGAGUUUAGACCGGUGUGAACCAGGUUGGAUUCUAUCUUUAUAUGGAAAAAUAUAUUUUAGUACGAAAGGACCAAAUAUAAAUUAAAUUAAUUGU